CCUACGGGAGGCAGCAGUGAGGAAUAUUGGGCAAUGGGCGAGAGCCGGAACCAGCCAAGUCGCGGGAGGGAAGACGGUCCGAUGGAUGGUAAACCUCUGUUGCCGGGGAGCAAAAAGCGGUACGUGUACCGCAUCGAGAGUACCCGGAGAAAAAGCAUCGGCUAACUCCGUGCCAGCAGCCGCGGUAAUACGGAGGAGGCGAGCGUUAUCCGGAUUUAUUGGGUUGAAAGGGUGCGCAGGCGGCGAGUUAAGUCAGCGGUAAAAUUUCGGGGCUCAACCCCGACGAGCCGUUGAAACUGGCUUGCUAGAGUGGGCGAGACGUAUGCGGAAUGCGUGGUGUAGCGGU
rnacentral:rRNA from 1 species